AAGGCCUUAGCUUAAUUUAAAGUGUCUGUUUUGCAUGCAGUGGAUGUGGAUUAGUGUUCCGCAGGUCUUA
rnacentral:tRNA from 1 species